rnacentral:rRNA from 1 species
GCAGCCGCGGUAAUACGGAGGAUGCGAGCGUUAUCCGGAUUUAUUGGGUUUAAAGGGUGCGUAGGCGGGUUGCUAAGUCAGUGGUAAAAGCGUGUGGCUCAACCAUACCAAGCCAUUGAAACUGGCGAUCUUGAGUGUAAACGAGGUAGGCGGAAUGUGACGUGUAGCGGUGAAAUGCUUAGAUAUGUCACAGAACCCCGAUUGCGAAGGCAGCUUACCAGCAUACAACUGACGCUGAGGCACGAAAGCGUGGGUAUCAAACAGGAUUAGAUACCCC